rnacentral:miRNA from 1 species
AUUGGUAUCACCUGGGCGUCUUGUUAAAAUGCAGUUUCUAAGUGGAUUGAUGAGUCUAGAGCUGGCAGACACCACAUUCUAACAAGCUCCCAGGGAUGUCCAA